rnacentral:rRNA from 1 species
GUAGUUAGCCGUGGCUUUCUGGUCAGAUACCGUCAAGGCCGGAGCAGUUACUCUCCGACUUGUUCUUCUCUGACAACAGAGUUUUACGAUCCGAAAACCUUCUUCCCUCACGCGGCGUUGCUGGGUCAGGCUUGCGCCCAUUGCCCAAUAUUCCCCACUGCUGCCUCCCGUAGGAGUCUGGACCGUGUCUCAGUUCCAGUGUGGCCGAUCAGCCUCUCAGCUCGGCUACCCAUCGCUGACUUGGUGGGCCGUUACCCCGCCAACUAUCUAAUGGGACGCGAACCCCUCCAAUAGCGGAUUGCUCCUUUGACCUCUCUCUGAUGCCAGAGUGUGGUCUUAUGCGGUAUUAGCAACCGUUUCCGAUUGUUAUCCCCCUCUACUGGGCAGGUUGUUCACGCGUUACUCACCCGUUCGCCACUAAGUUAUCAACCGAAAUCAAUAACUCCGUUCGACUUGCAUGUGUUAGGCACGCCGCCAGCGUUCGUCCUGAGCCAGGAUCAAACUCUGA